GAUGAACGCUGACGGCGUGCCUAAUACAUGCAAGUCGAGCGAACAGACGAGGAGCUUGCUCCUCUGACGUUAGCGGCGGACGGGUGAGUAACACGUGGAUAACCUACCUAUAAGACUGGGAUAACUUCGGGAAACCGGAGCUAAUACCGGAUAAUAUAUUGAACCGCAUGGUUCAAUAGUGAAAGACGGUUUUGCUGUCACUUAUAGAUGGAUCCGCGCCGCAUUAGCUAGUUGGUAAGGUAACGGCUUACCAAGGCGACGAUGCGUAGCCGACCUGAGAGGGUGAUCGGCCACACUGGAACUGAGACACGGUCCAGACUCCUACGGGAGGCAGCAGUAGGGAAUCUUCCGCAAUGGGCGAAAGCCUGACGGAGCAACGCCGCGUGAGUGAUGAAGGUCUUCGGAUCGUAAAACUCUGUUAUUAGGGAAGAACAAAUGUGUAAGUGACUAUGCACGUCUUGACGGUACCUAAUCAGAAAGCCACGGCUAACUACGUG
rnacentral:rRNA from 1 species